UACGUAGGGUGCAGGCGUUAAUCGGAAUUACUGGGCGUAAAGCGUGCGCAGGCGGUCUGUUAAGACAGGUGUGAAAUCCCCGGGCUUAACCUGGGAAUUGCGCUUGUAACUGGCAGGCUAGAGUGUGGCAGAGGGGGGUGGAAUUCCACGUGUAGCAGUGAAAUGCGUAGAUAUGUGGAGGAACACCGAUGGCGAAGGCAGCCCCCUGGGUUAACACUGACGCUCAUGCACGAAAGCGUGGGGAGCAAACAGGAUUAGAUACCCUGGUAGUCCACGCCCUAAACUAUGUCAACUGGUUGUCGGGGAAGAAAUUCCUUGGUAACGAAGCUAACGCGUGAAGUUGACCGCCUGGGGAGUACGGCCGCAAGGUUAAA
rnacentral:rRNA from 1 species